rnacentral:rRNA from 1 species
UUAAUCAUGCAAGUCGAACGGUAACAGCAGAGCUUGCUCUGGCUGACGAGUGGCGCACGGGUGAGUAACGCGUACACAACCUACCUUUAAGUGGGGGAUAGCCUUGGGAAACUGAGAAUAAUACCCCAUAGUAUUGACAAUUUGAUUAAUAGUCAAUUAAAGCUCCGGCGCUUAAAGAUGGGUGUGCGUCCCAUUAGCUAGUUGGUGAGGUAACGGCUCACCAAGGCGACGAUGGGUAGGGGGCGUGAGAGCGUGACCCCCCACACGGGUACUGAGACACGGACCCGACUCCUACGGGAGGCAGCAGUAAGGAAUAUUGGACAAUGGGCGAAAGCCUGAUCCAGCCAUCCCGCGUGCAGGAUGACGGCCCUAUGGGUUGUAAACUGCUUUUGUCAGGGAAGAACUCCCAGAUCUUGCAUCUGGGCUGACGGUACCUGAAGAAUAAGCACCGGCUAACUCCGUGCCAGCAGCCGCGGUAAUACGGAGGGUGCAAGCGUUAUCCGGAAUCACUGGGUUUAAAGGGUGCGUAGGCGGCGUCGUAAGUCAGAAGUGAAAGCUCACAGCUUAACUGUGAAAUUGCUUUUGAUACUGCGGUGCUUGAAUUAGGUUGAGGUUAGCGGAAUGUGACAUGUAGCGGUGAAAUGCAUAGAUAUGUCAUAGAACACCAAUUGCGAAGGCAGCUAGCUAGGCCUAUAUUGACGCUGA